CGGCGGACGGGUGAGUAACGCGUGGGUAACCUGCCCUAAAGCCCGGGAUAACACCGGGAAACUGGUGCUAACACCGGAUACCUUCCGAAGAGGGCAUCCUUUUUGGAAGAAAGGUUAACGCUUUAGGAUGGGCCCGCGUCCCAUUAGCUAGUUGGUGAGGUAACGGCUCACCAAGGCAGUGAUGGGUAGCCGGCCUGAGAGGGUGGACGGCCACACUGGGACUGAGACACGGCCCAGACUCCUACGGGAGGCGGCAGUAGGGAAUAUUGCGCAAUGGGCGAAAGCCUGACGCAGCGACGCCGCGUGGGUGAUGAAGGCCUUCGGGUUGUAAAACCCUGUCCUUGGGGAAGAAGGAAGUGACGGUACCCAAGGAGGAAGCCCCGGCUAACUACGUGCCAGCAGCCGCGGUAAAACGUAGGGGGCGAGCGUUGUCCGGAAUUACUGGGCGUA
rnacentral:rRNA from 1 species